UUCUUGAUUCAUAUGGGCAAUUCAUCAUAAACUACUACAUGAAUAAAAUCGAUGCCACUUUGCCUGAGUUAUUGAUUAUGCUGGUAACAGUAGAGGGCACCUUGAAGAGUUCAAAGGGCAUAGUUCUAGCUAUGGAGUGGGCUUCCCUUAAAAGAAAAUCUUCUUUUAAGAAGAAGAAAAAGCUUGCGAAGAAGCAAAAGAAUGAGGUUAAGCCUAA
rnacentral:lncRNA from 1 species